GGUUACCAUGAAACAACUCCUUUACCGACGACAUUACCAACUGUGACCACAACACAACCUCCAAGUGUCGAAGGGAAGCCCAUUGAAUUCAACGUGACCUUUGUUAUCACUAACUUGGAGCUUACAGAGGACCUACAAAAUUCCAGUUCUUCGCUGUACAAUUCUGUGUCAAAUAAUAUUUCCUAUCAGCUCACUGCCCUGUACAACAAGAGCAACAUUAAUGCAAGAUUUUCAGACUGUAAAGUUGUUUCCUUC